UGAAUUUAACUUGGUGUGAGUCC
rnacentral:siRNA from 1 species